rnacentral:rRNA from 1 species
AGCAGCCGCGGUAAUUCCAGCUCCAAUAGCGUAUAUUAAAGUUGUUGCAGUUAAAAAGCUCGUAGUUGAACUUCAGGCCUGUCCAGAUGGUCCGCCUUAAUUGGUGUGUACUGUCCUUGGGUGGGUCCUACCUUCUGGCGAAGCGGCAUGGCCUUAAUUGGUUGUGUCGGGGAAGCAGGACUCUUACUGUGAAAAAUUAGAGUGUUCAAAGCAGGCAUAAUAUGCUCGAAUACAUUAGCAUGGAAUAAUGGAAUAGGACGAUGGUUCUAUUUUGUUGGUUCUAGGACCGUUGUAAUGAUUAAUGGGGAUAGUUGGGGGCAUUAGUAUUCAAUUGUCAGAGGUGAAAUUCUUGGAUUUAUUGAAGACUAACUACUGCGAAAGCAUUUGCCAAGGAUGUUUUCAUUAAUCAAGACGAAAGUUAGGGGAUCGAAGACGAUCAGAUACCGUGUA